ensembl:lincRNA
GUCUGAGGCAGGUGCAACGUGAGAAAUCCAGAGAUUCAUGAGGGGGUGGGGCAGGCUUAGAAAAGGGAGAAUCUGCUGCCAGAGAGGCCAGAUGCCAUGAGUCCGAAGGAAUCAUCCCGCCCCCAGCAGACAAGCCUGGAGCCAGCCUGCUCCUCUGGCCAAAGCAUUCCACCCCUGGACCUCUCCUCCAGGUACUUCCUGUCCAGACGGGCAGUGGCCCCAGAGCCUGGGAAACCUGCCCCACAGCCCAUAGGAUAAGAAGAAACCAAGUCCUAAAAGUAGGCCAGCACCAGGAUUCAGGCCUCUGACUUCAAGCCAAGGGCUCAUCAUCUUGAAUUGCGCACGAAUUUUUACACAGCGCCAAAGGAAACUGCCUGUACUUACUGUUGUAGGUAAGACAAACCUUUGCUUAUUUUUACUUCUCAUGAAUAAAUAGUUGCAAGAAGAACUGCUG